CCCUUUCCCCACUCAAACUUAUAGCUGGCUGCAACUAUGGACUACAAAUCCCAGAGGCACCUGGAAGCAGGAACAGGAAGUGAGGAGCAACCCUGCAGAGUUCUACUGCUGUAAUUCUGGACUACAGAUCCCAGAGACCUCAGGGGCAGCAGGAAGAGGAAAUGAACACAGCCAGAGAGCCAUGCCCUAGCACUCCCUAGCUUCUGGCCUGAGCAACUGCAGGCAAAGCUCUGCAUUUCCUGAUUCUGGCUGCAGUUGGAGUGCCUGAAAUGAAGGUGAAGCAUUGUGGAAAGUUCUUGCAAGAUUUGCAGCCCAAACAGAAACAGGAAACACUGGAAGUCAUGUGAGAAUUCUUGGGAGAUUUCUGAACUCUGUUUUGGACAUGCCAAAAAUUUGGUCUUGAUCCAACAAGGAACACACUCACAUGCCUAACUCCAAGCAUGUGAAGGGCUCUGUUGACUUCGGUGAGAGUACUCGUGGGCUCAAAGGAGAGCUGGUGUUAAAGCUGUGUAUACAAAGCUUACCGAAUCCUCACCUUAGUUUUAUUGUGUCUGCAUUUUUUGUGAAACAUCUAAGCUGAAGCAAACCCUCAGUUUUGUGAAUUUUGUUAUCACUGUGACUGGUUGAAGAUUUUGAUCCUCCCUUUUCCAGUAAGAUGCAACUAUUGUGGAUGGUGUAAUUAAACCAUGUAACAUUUUUUUUUAA